GCCGUUAUGGCGGAAUUGGUAGACGCGAUGGUCUCAAACACCAUUGGAGAAAUCCAUGUCGGUUCGACUCCGACUAACGGCA
rnacentral:tRNA from 1 species